AAAUUGAAGAGUUUGAUCAUGGCUCAGAUUGAACGCUGGCGGCAGGCCUAACACAUGCAAGUCGAACGGUAACAGGGAAA
rnacentral:rRNA from 1 species